rnacentral:rRNA from 1 species
GACGAACGCUGGCGGCGUGCUUAACACAUGCAAGUCGAACGGAAAGGCCCUGCUUUUGUGGGGUGCUCGAGUGGCGAACGGGUGAGUAACACGUGAGUAACCUGCCCUUGACUUUGGGAAAACUUCAGGAAACUGGGGCUAAUACCGGAUAGGAGCUCCUGCUGCAUGGUGGGGGUUGGAAAGUUUCGGCGGUUGGGGCUGGACUCGCGGCUUAUCAGCUUGUUGGUGGGGCAGUGGCUUACCAAGGCUUUGACGGGUAGCCGGCCUGGGAGGGUGACCGGCCACAUUGGGACUGAGGUACGGCCCAGACUCCUACGGGAGGCAGCAGUGGGGAAUAUUGCACAAUGGGCGGAAGCCUGAUGCAGCAACGCCGCGUGCGGGAUGACGGCCUUCGGGUUGUAAACCGCUUUCGCCUGUGACGAAGCGUGAGUGACGGUAAUGGGUAAAGAAGCACCGGCUAACUACGUG